GACCAUAUCACGGUGAAACACCGUUUCCCUUACGAUCACUGAAGUCAAGCAACGUCGAGCCUUGUCAGUAACUAGAUAGGUAACCGCUUGCGAAUACCAAGUGCUGCAAG